GCUCGCGUAGCUUAAUUUAAAGCAUAGCACUGAAGAUGCUAAGAUAAACCUUAAAAAGUUUCACAAGCA
rnacentral:tRNA from 2 species